AAGUCGUAACAAGGUUUCCGUAGGUGAACCUGCGGAAGGAUCAUUAGUGAAUUAAACAUGCUUGGUGUCUUCGCUUCGGCAAGGCCCUUGCUUAACUCACAUCCCAACACCUGUGAACUGUAAGGCGCAUGACUAGGUUCGCCCAAGUCAUCGUCUGCCCUUUUUAACAAACAAUUAAUGUAACAAACGUAGUCUUAUUAUAACCUAAUAAAACUUUCAACAACGGAUCUCUUGGCUCUC
rnacentral:misc_RNA from 1 species